UACGGGGGGGGUAAGCGUUGUUCGGAAUUACUGGGCGUAAAGGGCUCGUAGGCGGCCAACUAAGUCAGACGUGAAAUCCCUCAGCUUAACUGGGGAACUGCGUCUGAUACUGGAUGGCUUGGAUUUGGGAGAGGAAUGCGGAAUUCCAGGUGUAGCGGUGAAAUGCGUAGAUAUCUGGAGGAACACCGGUGGCGAAGGCGGCAUUCUGGACCAACAUUGACGCUGAACGGCGAAAGCUAGGGGAGCAAACGGG
rnacentral:rRNA from 1 species